rnacentral:ncRNA from 1 species
UAAUUAAAUUUGGUUAUUAAGAAAAAAGUGCCUAAAUUCUUUAUAAUUUAUACAAGAAAUUAUUUAAUUAGAAGAUAAAAUUUAUUUAAUAAUAAAUUAUUAUUGAGACUUAGAUUGAUCUCUAGUAAAUUUUGUGCCAGCAACAGCGGUUAUACAAAAAGAGAAUUUUUUUAAAUAAAAAUUUAAAAAUAUUUAUAAAUAUUUUUGUUUAAAAUAAAGGUGAAAUUUAUUUUCAAUAAUAAAUAAAUUUAAAGUAAUAAUUCUGUUAUAAACUAGGAUUAGAUACCCUAUUAUUAAGAGCUCUAUAUUGUUAGUAUAUAAUUUAUAUGAAAACAAAAAAUUAUGGCGGUAUUUUAAGCUUUUCAGAGGAAUUUGCUCUUUAAUGGAUAAAACACCUAAAUCUUACUAGAAUUAGUAAAGCAGUUUGUAUACCACUAUUUAAGUAAUAAUUUGUUGUUAUUACUAGAAUUUACAAAAAAUAAAAAAAGUUAAGUCAAGGUGCAGCAAAAAUUCUAGAAUGAAGUGAAUUACAUUACUUUAAAGUAAAUAUUAUUGAAAAUAAAUUUAGGAUUUGAAAGUAAAAUUUUAAUAGAAAGAAAAUUUGAAUUUAGCUCUAAAAUAUGUACAUAUCGCCCGUCGCUCUUUUUUAAAGAUAAGUCGUAACAAAGUUAAAGUAUUGGAAAAUGCUUU